rnacentral:misc_RNA from 1 species
UACAAAGUAGAGAACUUGAAGUCUAUCCUUGUAAUCAGAUGGAAGUUCUUCAUAAAUCCACCUCAGGAUGGUCAAGCCUGGACAAUUAUCAUCCUUCUGGGCGGUAGUAUGAAAGUACACAAUGCAAAAUGGACCCUCAGACAAUUCGCUCUGGAAUUUAUGGAAGAUAUAUUUCUUCAGCCGCUCUCCACUUACAACCACAGCAGGGAAGUACUUUCCGACGACGCGGAGGAUGCGAUUCCCGGCCUUGUCGGAGCCCUCAAGACGGACAAACUGCAAGAGAUCGAGAUCGGAGAAGUCCUCAUCGGAGGAAAGGUUUUGAGAACAAUCGUGCCAAUUGUCAGCCUCUUCAGACUCUUUGUCUUUGUCAGGCAAAAGUGGCCGCGAAUCGAUGCCGCCAUCGGAAGGGAGAAUGACGACCGAGAAAUCGUUAGGGGUGCUGCCCAUCUCUGCUUUGAUCUUCUUCUCUCACUUUCCUCUGAUUCGACUCGCGCUAUUAUAGAUGGGAUGGAGUUCAGAAGCAACAAAUAUCUCGCAUUUGUGAAAUUAAUGAGAGAAAGUUACAUGAACGGACAAGAUGAUGUUGAAGAUCGCCAUUGUUGGAGCUUUGAUUCGAG